rnacentral:rRNA from 1 species
GGGUUGUGAGGUUAAGCGACUAAGCGUACACGGUGGAUGCCCUGGCAGUCAGAGGCGAUGAAGGACGUGCUAAUCUGCGAUAAGCGCCGGUAAGGUGAUAUGAACCGUUAUAACCGGCGAUUUCCGAAUGGGGAAACCCAGUGUGACUCGUCACACUAUCAUUAACUGAAUCCAUAGGUUAAUGAGGCGAACCGGGGGAACUGAAACAUCUAAGUACCCCGAGGAAAAGAAAUCAACCGAGAUUCCCCCAGUAGCGGCGAGCGAACGGGGAGGAGCCCAGAGCCUGAAUCAGCAUGUGUGUUAGUGGAAGCGUCUGGAAAGGCGCGCGAUACAGGGUGACAGCCCCGUACACAAAAGCGCAUGUGCUGUGAGCUCGAUGAGUAGGGCGGGACACGUGGUAUCCUGUCUGAAUAUGGGGGGACCAUCCUCCAAGGCUAAAUACUCCUGACUGACCGAUAGUGAACCAGUACCGUGAGGGAAAGGCGAAAAGAACCCCGGCGAGGGGAGUGAAAAAGAACCUGAAACCGUGUACGUACAAGCAGUGGGAGCCCCACCACUAAGCCAGUGGUGAACUCCACAUACGCAUCCUUUGCUGAGGAUACGGUUAACGGAGCGAAAGCGACGUUCAACCGCAAAAGAAGCAGAGGGGGCUUAGUGGUGGGGUGACUGCGUACCUUUUGUAUAAUGGGUCAGCGACUUAUAUUCUGUAGCAAGGUUAACCGAAUAGGGGAGCCGGAGGGAAACCGAGUCUUAAUUGGGCGUUAAGUUGCAGGGUAUAGACCCGAAACCCGGUGAUCUAGCCAUGGGCAGGUUGAAGGUUGGGUAACACUAACUGGAGGACCGAACCGACUAAUGUUGAAAAAUUAGCGGAUGACCUGUGGCUGGGGGUGAAAGGCCAAUCAAACCGGGAGAUAGCUGGUUCUCCCCGAAAGCUAUUUAGGUAGCGCCUCGUGAAUUCAUCUCCGGGGGUAGAGCACUGUUUCGGCUAGGGGGCCAUCCCGGCUUACCAACCCGAUGCAAACUGCGAAUACCGGAGAAUGUUAUCACGGGAGACACACGGCGGGUGCUAACGUCCGUCGUGAAGAGGGAAACAACCCAGACCGCCAGCUAAGGUCCCAAAGUCAUGGUUAAGUGGGAAACGAUGUGGGAAGGCCCAGACAGCCAGGAUGUUGGCUUAGAAGCAGCCAUCAUUUAAAGAAAGCGUAAUAGCUCACUGGUCGAGUCGGCCUGCGCGGAAGAUGUAACGGGGCUAAACCAUGCACCGAAGCUGCGGCAGCGACACUCAGGUGUUGUUGGGUAGGGGAGCGUUCUGUAAGCCUGCGAAGGUGGCCUGUGAGGGUUGCUGGAGGUAUCAGAAGUGCGAAUGCUGACAUAAGUAACGAUAAAGCGGGUGAAAAGCCCGCUCGCCGGAAGACCAAGGGUUCCUGUCCAACGUUAAUCGGGGCAGGGUGAGUCGACCCCUAAGGCGAGGCCGAAAGGCGUAGUCGAUGGGAAACGGGUUAAUAUUCCCGUACUUGGUGUUACUGCGAAGGGGGGACGGAGAAGGCUAUGUUGGCCGGGCGACGGUUGUCCCGGUUUAAGCGUGUAGGUGUGUGUUCCAGGUAAAUCCGGUUCACUUUAACACUGAGGCGUGAUGACGAGGCACUACGGUGCUGAAGCAACAAAUGCCCUGCUUCCAGGAAAAGCCUCUAAGCAUCAGGUAACAUCAAAUCGUACCCCAAACCGACACAGGUGGUCAGGUAGAGAAUACCAAGGCGCUUGAGAGAACUCGGGUGAAGGAACUAGGCAAAAUGGUGCCGUAACUUCGGGAGAAGGCACGCUGACACGUAGGUGAAGUGAUUUACUCAUGGAGCUGAAGUCAGUCGAAGAUACCAGCUGGCUGCAACUGUUUAUUAAAAACACAGCACUGUGCAAACACGAAAGUGGACGUAUACGGUGUGACGCCUGCCCGGUGCCGGAAGGUUAAUUGAUGGGGUCAGCGCAAGCGAAGCUCCUGAUCGAAGCCCCGGUAAACGGCGGCCGUAACUAUAACGGUCCUAAGGUAGCGAAAUUCCUUGUCGGGUAAGUUCCGACCUGCACGAAUGGCGUAAUGAUGGCCAGGCUGUCUCCACCCGAGACUCAGUGAAAUUGAACUCGCUGUGAAGAUGCAGUGUACCCGCGGCAAGACGGAAAGACCCCGUGAACCUUUACUAUAGCUUGACACUGAACAUUGAGCCUUGAUGUGUAGGAUAGGUGGGAGGCUUUGAAGUGUGGACGCCAGUCUGCAUGGAGCCGGCCUUGAAAUACCACCCUUUAAUGUUUGAUGUUCUAACGUGGACCCGUGAUCCGGGUUGCGGACAGUGUCUGGUGGGUAGUUUGACUGGGGCGGUCUCCUCCUAAAGAGUAACGGAGGAGCACGAAGGUUGGCUAAUCCUGGUCGGACAUCAGGAGGUUAGUGCAAUGGCAUAAGCCAGCUUGACUGCGAGCGUGACGGCGCGAGCAGGUGCGAAAGCAGGUCAUAGUGAUCCGGUGGUUCUGAAUGGAAGGGCCAUCGCUCAACGGAUAAAAGGUACUCCGGGGAUAACAGGCUGAUACCGCCCAAGAGUUCAUAUCGACGGCGGUGUUUGGCACCUCGAUGUCGGCUCAUCACAUCCUGGGGCUGAAGUAGGUCCCAAGGGUAUGGCUGUUCGCCAUUUAAAGUGGUACGCGAGCUGGGUUUAGAACGUCGUGAGACAGUUCGGUCCCUAUCUGCCGUGGGCGCUGGAGAACUGAGGGGGGCUGCUCCUAGUACGAGAGGACCGGAGUGGACGCAUCACUGGUGUUCGGGUUGUCAUGCCAAUGGCACUGCCCGGUAGCUAAAUGCGGAAGAGAUAAGUGCUGAAAGCAUCUAAGCACGAAACUUGCCCCGAGAUGAGUUCUCCCUGAGACUUUAGGUCUCCUGAAGGAACGUUGAAGACGACGACGUUGAUAGGCCGGGUGUGUAAGCGCAGCGAUGCGUUGAGCUAACCGGUACUAAUGAACCGUGAGGCUUAACCUUACAACGCCGAAG